rnacentral:rRNA from 1 species
GACGAACGCUGGCGGCGUGCCUCAAACAUGCAAGUCGAGCGGGGAACUUUUAAAAGCGCAAGCUUUUGUAAGUUCCUAGCGGCGAACGGGUGAGUAACACGUGGGCAACCUACCCAGAAGACCGGGAUAACGGCUCGAAAGGGCCGCUAAUACCGGAUAAUGUCGGGGUACCGCAUGGUACUCCGAAGAAAGGGGAAACCCGCUUUUGGAUGGGCCCGCGUCCCAUCAGCUAGUUGGUGAGGUAACGGCUCACCAAGGCGACGACGGGUAGCCGGUCUGAGAGGAUGGUCGGCCACACUGGGACUGAGACACGGCCCAGACUCCUACGGGAGGCAGCAGUUGGGAAUCUUGGGCAAUGGGCGAAAGCCUGACCCAGCGACGCCGCGUGAGGGAAGAAGGCCUUCGGGUCGUAAACCUCUGUCAUGGGGGAAGAAGCAAGUGACGGUACCCCAAGAGGAAGCCCCUGCUAACUACGUG